UUNCAAAGCCAAACAUUCAGAGGCCGAGAU
rnacentral:piRNA from 1 species